CGGUGGUCCCACCUGACCCCAUGCCGAACUCAGAAGUGAAACGCCGUAGCGCCGAUGGUAGUGUGGGGUCUCCCCAUGCGAGAGUAGGGAACUGCCA
rnacentral:rRNA from 1 species